UUGACUCAUAAUUAUUUGGGGAAACUUCACCUUGUAUAGCAGUACCUGACAAUCCUUGGGAGUUUGGCGCUUCUCCUGCAUGACACUGUACAGUCUAGAGAUAUCUUGAGAGCAUCUCUAACAUUGGCAAACAAGCUUUAUGAUAUCCCAACCCAGAUCUGGGUGCUUUCUGUUUUGACAGCCUUGUAUCGAGAGUUGGAUGAGAGGGGAAAUGAAAUGGAAAAUGCUGAAUAUCAAAGGAAAAAGGUAGAUGAUCUGCAAAGGGGACUGCUGAUGCACAUUCAUCCAUUCAUCACAUUGAACUAAUUGACAGAGUAAGACUUGAAGUUCAGCAGUUUCAAAUCUCGACAUCAAACAUACAACAGGCCCUUCCAUGAGAGUCAAUCUGGACAUCCCAGAGUCUAUCGGUCUGUCUACCCCUUUACCUGCUCCAUCAUCAUCAAGGCUAGUGGAUUUAGACACUGGAAGACGAAAAUCUAGUAAAGUAGGAAGAAGGUAGCAAAAGUAUGGUGCUGUGGAUAUAGGCUUAGGUUUUAUUAACUCAUUUGUACGUGCAAAACAAACGAGUUUUGGAUGACCUUACCAGUUACCACAUUCAGCAAUGACCCUGACUCUAGGGCGCAGCGUGGGAAGCAAAGCGAG